UCUAGAACUCAAGAUAUGAGCUGAACACCGAACAAUGUCUGAGCUGCAGGAUAGAUUCUGACUUCUCUGUUGUUGCUAAGAUUUGAACUUGAAAACAGCAGAAUUGAUUCUUGGACUCCCAUAAAAGUUUUAGAUCUAUGUCUUAGCUUUCCAUC
rnacentral:pre_miRNA from 1 species